ensembl:lncRNA
UCCCUUCUCAUUUUUUCUUUCCUAAUUUUCCAAGGAUGGCUUUUGUUUGGAGAUCUAGAGAGUCAACUUUGACUUGUGAUUUCAAAUGUCGUUUGGACUACAGUCAUUAAGCAACCGAUGAGAAAUAAAAAUUUAAGUGGAUAUUUCUGAGUGUACUCUUGAAAACAUCUUAUAUUUGGAUAAUUUUAUUCCUUUUAUUUAAAACUUCAAAACCAAGUAUUUAUCUUUUAAUGGAAAUGGACAAGUUGGCCCGAAAGUUCCUAUGAAAAUUCGAAGGACACAAAAUAGUUAAAACAAUCUCGGAAAAAAAAAAAGAAGAUUGGAGAAAUCACACAUCUCACUUUCAAAACUUACCACAAAGCUACAGAAAUCAAGACAGUGUGGUAGUGGCAUAAAUACAGACAUACAGACCCCUGGAAUGAGAUUGAGGGUCCAAAAAUAAAUCCACAUGUCCAUGGUCAAUUGAUUUUCCACAAGGUGUAAAGACUGUGUAAUGGGGAAAGACUGGUCUUUUCAACGUGUGGUGCUGAGACAAGUGGAUAUCCACAUGCAGAAGAAUGAAAUUGGACCCCCACCUCAUGCUAUGUACAAGAAUUAACUUCAAAUAGAUCACAGACCUAACUGUAAGAGCUAAAACUAUAAAUCUCUUAGAAGGAAAAAUAGGUGUAAAUCUGCAUGGUCUUGGAUUAGGCAACAGUUUUUCAGAUAUGACACCAAAAGCAUGAGCAAAAACAACAACAAAAAAUAGAUAUAUUGGACUUCAUUAAAUUAAAUACUUUUGUGUUUCAAAUGACACUGUCAAGAAAACGAAAAUACAACUCAAAGAUUGAGAGAAAAUAUUUGCAAAUCAUAUAACUGAUAAAGGUCUAGUAUUCAGAAUAUACAAAGAAUGUUUACAACUCAACAAUAAAAAGACAAAUAAGCCGAUGAAAAACGGGAAAAGGAUCUGAAUAGACAUUUCUAAAAGGAAGACAUAAAAACAGCCAAUAAGCAUAUUAAAAGAUAAGUGAGAUACAACUUCACAUUCACUAGGAUGGUAAUGAUAAAUUUUUUAAAAAGGAAAACAAUGGAGAGAAUGUAGAGAAAAUGGAAUGCUAAUAUGUUGUACUUUUUGAUAGUGUACAAUUGUAUGUUUUAAAAUAGUGAAUAAAUAAUAAUGAAUAACUAGGAAUGUAAAAUGAUGCAGUUGCUGUGGAAAACAAUUUUGUGGUUUCUCAAAAAGUGAAAUGUGGAAUGACCAUAGGGCCCAACAAUUCCACUCUUAGGUAUAUACUCAAGAGAAUUAAAAAUAUACGUUGACACAAAAAAAUAUACAUCUACACGAAUAUUCAUAGCAGUAUAUUCAUAGUAGCCAAAAAGUGGAAACAGCCCAAAUGUCCAUCAAAUGAUGAAUGAAUAAACAAAAUGUCAUAUGUCCAUAUUAUGGAAUAUUAUUCAGCCACAAAAAAGGAAUGAAGCACUGUUACAUGCUACAACGUGGAUGAACCUUGAAAACAUUAUGCAAAGUGAAAUAAACCAGACACAAAUGUCCACAUAUUGUGUGAUACCGUUUAUAUGGAACGUCCAGAACAGACAAAUCUAC